UACGGGAAGGGCAAGCGUUAUCCGGCGUGACUGGGCGUAAAGAGUCCGUAGACGGUAAAGUAAGUUUUUUUGUUUAAAUUUUAAAAACUCAAUUUUAAGAAAGCAAUUAAAAUACUGCUUUACUUUGAGUUUAAUACAGAAAAGUGGAAUUUAUAUGGUAGGGGUGAAAUCCGUAGAUAUAUAAAGGAACGUCGGAUAGCGAAGGCAA
rnacentral:rRNA from 1 species